rnacentral:lncRNA from 1 species
CCUGGAGCAAGCGUGUCCAUCUUAUGUGUCCUCCACACCUCCAAAUCCCCACGCUGGUGUUGUGGCACUCAUUCUAGCCUAAUUUCAUCCAUUAUUAUUUCCCUAUCUCAAGGAGAUAAAAACUGUUAAAAGGACCAUAAAACCACCAUCCCACCACAGAAUUCCAAAUAUCCCAUCGAUGUUCAAAUCUUCCUAAUUGCCUUAUAAAUUGCUUCAUGUUUUAAGUUUGCUUGCUGGAACCCGGCAGCGUCCGUGUGACCUUUACGACAUGACCUUUCUGUCUCCCUGACGCCGACGCUCUUUUCUUAGUUCAGCUGAAGAAUGGGCUUGUGUAUCCUGCACUCUGCCGACCGGUUCCCUGUGGUUUUGCGUGUUCUGCUCCAUCCUUUUGAGAGGUGGUCAGACCGAGGCCGCAUCAGGCUCCCCUGCAAUUCCGUUUGGCGGGAGCAGCUUGCGGGUCUCAGGGCACCUCGGUGGCACUGUUGUUGUGCCUUCCUCCACCGUUAGCUGGAAGAGUAAAGAGAAACCCAAGGUUCACGUUUGUCACUAAAACACCCGCUCUUCGAUUAUAUGGAUGUUUCAUGCAUUUGUGAUACAGUUACUUACUGAUGUACCUUUUGGCCAUUUUUAAUCAUCUGCUGUUUAAAAUGCUGCUGCAGUAUUUGUAUAUAUACAUAAUUUCGCUCAAGUGGCUCUGUGUGGAAUAAAUUCUAAAAAUUUCUGGGUCAAAGAGCACACACAUUCAAUCCCAGUCUGGCUGUUCACCACCCGCAGCUGCUGUGCCAACCCAACCCACCAGCGAUGGAGCACCUGCCUCGUGCCCUUAAAGGGAGGGAAAGCAUCUUCUCACAUAUUUAUAAACUGCUUUAUUUCCCCUUCAGUAAAUUAUUAUUUUCAUUAGCCCAUUUUUCUAUUGGUCAGUAUUUUUCAUAAGGAAAACUCUCCGACAUGCUGCAAAUUUUCCUGCCAUUUGAUAUUUUUGUAUUUUUGCCAUUGUGAUAUAAUCAAAUUAAGUGACUUUCAUUUAUGGAGUCUGAUUCAUUCUAAGACAAUCACUCCUGGUUGUGAAAUUUAAAAAACAACAUUGUCCCAUUUUGCUUCUGGGAUUUCUAGUUUUUAAUUACAUCUUUGAUACAACUGGAAUUUCUUUUGAUUACAGAUGCCAAUUUUUCUAUUUGGAUAAUUGUCCCAACAUCGUUUACAUCACUGCUUUUCCAGGAACGAAAUGCCGUCUAUGUUGGUUGUGAACGUGCAUUUGGCACCUGGCAGGGCCAACCCUCAUGGCGUGUGCGUGAACACAUCCCUAAACCAUAGUCUAAUUUAUCCUAUUUUUGUAGUUCAUGUGAGCAGAAUCCAGUGUCUGUGUUCUCGCAUCUGGUUUUCACUCCACGUGUUUGGGGUGUGUGCGUAUCGCUGUGCAUGGUGUGGACUUUCUCCACGUCCCGUGUGCAAACGCCACCCCACCCAGAGGCCACGCCAGGACCCAGGCCUGUGGGCAGUGGUUCCCGGUUUGCCCUUGCAAGGACGCUGUGUCCUCCUGCGUGAGCAUCCCUGCCUCGGGUCUAAUCCUGGGAGUGGAAGGCAGGUCGUGGGUGUGGCUGCAUCCUCAGCUUCUCUGGAUGAUGCCCAGGAACAUGCCCAGAGCCAGAGGGCCCAGCUGCUCGGCUCCCUCACACUGGGCUGGGCACUUGGUCGCCAGCCGUUUGGGGAGUGUGUUCUCAUGGUGGUUUCAGGUGUGAGUCUGACCAACAACCCCCCGUGCCCGCUGGACACUGGAGUUCCUUCCUCUCUGGCGGUGUUUCUCAUCAGGGUUCCCCACCGGCCUACUGCACGCUGCGUCUCUCCUGACCUGUAGGAGUCCCCUACACCUCUGGCUGCUCGACUUUGUUGGUUUAAUGUUUUGCAAAUGUCUUCCUCCAUUUUGUGGUUUGCCUUUUCAUUCUCCUAAUGGAACAUGUUGCUUUACAGAAGCAUCUAGUUUUAACAGAGUCUUGUUUAAGACGGUGUCAACACGCACUGGGCUGGCCUGGUCCCUGAACUCAGGUGUGUUUCCUUUGCAAACUCUAGAGCAGAGAGACAAGGGAGGAAGGACAGAUAGCGGCAGAGUGUGUGGAAAUGUUUUCCAGGAAGGAUGGCUUUGAGUGACAGCAUCAUUUGAGUGACAGCAGUGGUAGGUGGUGUAAUGGAUUCUGAUGUGGUGGGGGUAAGGGGCGCAGCCAAGCUCCGAUUCCUCCUGCUGGGCCCAAGGACCAAGGACUGUGACAGGAAUGCAUAGUCCCUCCUCUGUCCUGCCAGAGGCCAGAGACUUGUGUCCACCACUCUGCCGGGCUGUCUUCAGGAACUUGUUCAGGAGGUGCUGGGGUGCAGGGCACGUCUGAAAGGCAUUUCUGGACACCUGCUGUGGCCUCAUACAGGAGAGUAGGUGACCUGGCCAAGGCCAGCACACAGGACAAGAUUAAGCAUCCAGGGACCCGGGGUCACAGCCCUCACUCCAUUGCAGGGGUGGGGAUGACAGAGGCCAGAGGAGAUCAGACAGGGGCAGCUGUUGAUGGUUCUGAGAUGCAGUUUCUGUCUGAGGGGCCUCCUCCCACUCCUGGCCUGUGCAGAGGGGUGGGUGUGUGGAGGGAAGGUGGGUCUGCCCUGGUCAAACAGCAGAGGCAUUGCCUGUUAGUCUCAUUCCAUUCCGAGUGCCCCCAGGGAGAGUCAGCCACCUUAUGUAGAGAGGCAAGGCCAGAAGGCAGGGGGGGCCUCCCCUCUGGUGACCAACAGGGCCUGUGGUACAAGCAGUGCCGGCUGCUGCCCUCUCUGGCCUUUGUCUCCUUCCAGCCUCUCCGCUAUUAGCAGAGGAGCAGAACACUUGACAGGUGGACACAGGCCACCCCCAACCCCUGGCCCUGGAGGAGGCUCCACAGUGGCCUCCUAGAGCCAGGAGACCGGACUGAGCUGAAUCUGCUGCUCCUGACAGGACCUCACAGGGGGCGCCUUUGAGGACAACCUGAGGUCACUGCACUUGCAGGAGGGCCAGGACUUCCUUCACUUCAGCUGACGGACCCAUGGCAGCUGCUCCCAGUGCAUCCCAGGCCAGCAGGAGCUUUGUGAGCUGCAGGCAUGGCGAUGGUGCGCCUGUUCCACACCCAGCAGGCGCAACCAGAGUCUCGUGUGUGCCGACCACAGGAGCCAAGCCUUUUCCACUGUGUGGACUCAUGUGGCCAAGGCUAGGCCUGGUCACCCAGGACCCUCACCACGUGACCCCAGCCAAUCGGGACAGUUCAAGGAGGAGGAGACCCCUAUUACACAGGUUGGAAUAAAAUAUUUAAAUCUCGU